rnacentral:lncRNA from 1 species
CCUAUUUACUGUUUUCAUACUCGUUUCGCUACUUUGUUUAAAGCUUUAGUGGUGAUAAUCGGUACAUUUUUUACCUCGUCCGUUUCGAGUUGUCAACACGAAGAGUGGACUUUCUUUUCAUUAGCUUUUAUGCUUAUUAUUUAGUUCCUGUAGAGGGAAAUUUCUUCGCUACUACAUUCAACAUAAAAUCUAUCAUUUAUAUAUACAAAACUGGAUUGAAUGUAAAAUUCAUAAAUUCCUAUUAUUAUCGACUUAAUCACUUCUUCAGUUACAUUCAAAUAAAAGUUAUCUAGACAAGUCCUAAUUGCCAAUCUUUUUUACUUCAGUGAAAUUAUAUUUGUAUGGUAAUUUAUGUAUUUGAUGUAAUGUCAAAUGUGUAUCUAAUUGAGAAGGAAGUUUGUUUAAUAAGUCAUAAAAAUGAGCCAUUGCAAGAGCAAAAGUAUACAGCAUAAUUUCUUAUCCAAUCGUCAAUAUUUUGUCAUAUAUUACAGUCAUAAUUAGCAGAGGCGUCUACAAGUAUUGGUAGUUUUAAAUAUACUAAAAGACCGUUCGACGUCCACAUUAGCAAUUGGAACAAGUUAAAAGUUGGAGUGAUCUUCACGAGUCUUGAUUAAUAUAAGCAUCUCAUCAUCAACAGCAAUUAUUAUACGUCAAACGAUUCAAUGGGAACUAUUCAACAGUCAAUUUGGUUGUACUUGGAAUCCAGCUCCCUCGCAUAUCCGAUAAUGUAAUUACAUGAUAUACAUAUUUUGACAUCCAAAAAGAGGGCCUAAUGAAAGAGGGUUUUUGUAAGUGGAUUUUAUCUCAAAAAUUAUCAUAAAGGAUUCAUCAAAAACUGCUGUGUAAUCUAAGUAAAACCCUAAUUUUCUCUAUUUAUUUAGUACCAGUUUAGAAAAAUUAGCAAUUUUCAUACGUAAAAGGACUUAAGUUUUUCCCAAAAAGUCAAAAUGAGCAAUUUUUUGAACGAUUUAGCUCAAAUCCUAAGUAUAGUCAUAAUCUAACGAAAAUAUAUCAUAGUAUUAAACAAAUAGUUGACGAGAAAAAAGUUCGCUAAAUAAAAACAUCCUUUUUAAAUUUCGUCAAUGUAGAAUCAAUAUUUUAUUUAUGAAUACAUUUGUCUGGAUUAGCCAAUUUUAAGGCUUAGGAUGAGUUAUAUUAUAAAGUUCGGAAUAAAAACAGAGACCUUUAUUUGUGUAGUUCAUAAACGCAUUGUACUAUUCAUUUAUUAAAACAUUGAAUAAAUGUAAGAAUAUGCCAUAACUUGUAUUACGUUGAUAAAUUAUCACAUUAUCUAUCAAUUUUCGACAUAAUGAUAAGCUCAGUAUUGAGCUGCUUCAAUAGUUAUUAUUAGAGUGAAAUUGUUCAUAAAUAAAUAUAUGUAUAAUUAUAA